UUUAAAGAAGGGUCGGUGACGUGUGGUCUCCCUUCCCGCGGGCAGGGACGAAAACGACACGCGCCUCAGGCGUGUGGGCGGCCAAACGACCACUAUCCCUAUCUAUAUGUAUCAAUUACCAACUGCUAGCAUCUCGUAAUUGAACGAGAAUAUUCAUAUAAGUAAUAAAAAUAAUGUGAUGUUCAUUUUAGAAGAAAAAACUGAUCGUUAAACACCAAGGCGCAACCUGUGAAAAAUAAAAUGAAAAAAAUUGAAUUAAUAGGCGACUUUUUCUUUUUCAGAAUAAAAUGGCGGACGAAAUAAAUUCACCAAGUGCCUCCGUCACCUCAUACGAGGAAGACAACGAAAAAAAGUCGAACGCAUCGUAGAGAUCAUCGUCUCCGUCGCUAUCGUCGCCGUCUUCUGCGCCAUCCGAACGCGAAGAAAAAUCCGACGAAGAAAAAAAGAAGGAAGAAGAGUUACUUCGUUCGCCGUCAUCGAUUGCGUCUUCGCCGCGCGACGUCGUGCAAAUUCAAGGCUCGUCGGAGGAGCAAAUUCCGGUUGUCGCCGCCGAAUCUUCGUCGUCUGUAACAGACAUACCGAAACCUGGGUUGAGACAGCUACUUCGGCGGCAAAAACACCAGAGACUGAUAUUUUUCUGUCAGAUGCGGUGCAGAAGGACAGGCUGGCGGCAGUGUAUGUCAGCUUAGAAUCCAAAACAAAUGCGUAAGAAUCAACAAAUUGUGGUUUUUUAUGGGGUGGACUGGCCAUUGAUUGAUGCGAAUAUUACCUGGUUGUGCCUCACGGUCCGGGAGAGCGGUAAUGUGAUGGUGGUAGACGGUGAGAUGCCCACCAUUUUAGCAGCGAUAACCAAGGCGUCAUUUUCGACCAAGAUUGUGAUGCGCGUAUGCGUGAAGGUUAGUACAUUUUCCAGUACAUAUCAAGAAUUAUCUUCAUGCACGUUGAAUAUGGAUUCAUCAUUUUUUUCGUCUUUUAGAAUAACGAACCUUCGGAGGAAUUAUAUUCCUUGGUACGUGAGCGAGGCUGUAACACAGUCCUCCUCAUCUCCCAGAAGACUGGCAUGGUAGCGCAGCCUCCAGGAUUUGUAAGUAAUAAGCGUAAUACCUGCAAUGCAACAAGAAACUGUUGAGCCGCUGGUGAGGAGCCAAAUUGAAAAUUUUGACCAGGCAAAGUCCUGCAUAGUCCACUGAGGUUUGCAGAUUCAAUUUUGUAUACACAAUUAGAUAGUAGCGCAAUGCCAAAUAUUAUGUCUGAAUUAUGUGCUAAUAAUUUAAUAAACAAUUAUAAAGAUAAAAUUUGAAUACAUUCAUUUAAAACGUGUGUUACAGUGUAGAUUAGCAAAUAAUCAAGUAGUGAGGACAUGGAAAAAAGCAAUUGUGGUACCCUUGAAAUUUGGAAAACACAAAAUAAAAGUGUCUGCUUCCAAAGCUCAACGCACGAUUGGUAAACAAAAUUUUUUUAAAAAAAGGGGGUAUUUGACA